rnacentral:rRNA from 1 species
ACGGGAGGCAGCAGUGGGGAAUAUUGGACAAUGGGGGAAACCCUGAUGCAGCAACGCCACGUGUGGGAAGAAGCAUUUCGGUGUGUAAACCACUGUCGUGAGGGAAUAACGCUUGAUUUCGGUCAAGUUGAAUGUACCUCGAAAGGAAGCACCGGCAAACUUCGUGCCAGCAGCCGCGGUAAUACGAGGGGUGCGAGCGUUGUUCGGAAUCACUGGGCGUAAAGGGAGCGCAGGCGGAGAUGCAAGCGGACUGUACAAUCCCGGGGCCCAACCCCGGACCUGCAGUCCAGACUGCACCUCUUGGAUAGUUCAGGGGCAAGCGGAAUUCCUGGUGUAGCGGUGGAAGGCGUAGAGAUCAGGAAGAACACCGAUGGCGAAGGCAGCUUGCUGGGGACUUAGCGACGCUCAUGCUCGAAAGUGCGGGUAGCAAACAGGAUUAGAUACCCGGGUA